rnacentral:rRNA from 1 species
UACGGAGGGUGCAAACGUUGCUCGGAAUCAUUGGGCGUAAAGCGCACGUAGGCGGUCCUGCAAGUCGGGUGUGAAAGCCCUCGGCUCAACCGAGGAAGUGCAUCCGAAACUGCAGAACUUGAGUAGUGAAGAGGGUCUCGGAAUUCCCGGUGUAGAGGUGAAAAUUCGUAGAUAUCGGGAGGAACACCAGUGGCGAAGGCGGGAGACCUGGGCACAUACUGACACUGAGGUGCGAAAGCGUGGGGAGCAAACAGG